CACACCGCCCCGUCACAUCACGAAAGUGGGUUGUACUAGAAGUCCCGCGCGCUAACCGUAAAGGAGGCAGCGGCCCAAGGUAUNACUCAUGAUUGGGGUG
rnacentral:rRNA from 1 species